GUAGGUGAACCUGCGGAAGGAUCAUUAUUGAAUAAAUUUAAUGGGUUGUAGCUGGCUCUUUCAGAGUAUGUGCACGCCUGUUAUUUUAUCUUCUCCACCUGUGCACUACUUGUAGACUUUGGAUAUCCUUCUUUUUUGAGGAAACUCGAAUAAGAUAAUGGGAUUUGCUGCGCCUUGAAAAGAGGCAAGCUCAUCUUAAAUUUCCAGUCUAUGUUUUACAUACACCAUUAAUGUAACAGAAUGUUCAAAUGGCUUUCAAGCCUAUAAACAUAAAUACAACUUUCAGCAACGGAUCUCUUGGCUCUC
rnacentral:misc_RNA from 1 species